UACGGAGGGAGCUAGCGUUGUUCGGAAUUACUGGGCGUAAAGCGCACGUAGGCGGCUUUGUAAGUUAGAGGUGAAAGCCCGGAGCUCAACUCCGGAAUUGCCUUUAAGACUGCAUCGCUUGAAUCCGGGAGAGGUGAGUGGAAUUCCGAGUGUAGAGGUGAAAUUCGUAGAUAUUCGGAAGAACACCAGUGGCGAAGGCGGCCGACUGGUCCGGUUCUGACGCUGAGGCGCGAAAGCGUGGGGAGCAAACAGG
rnacentral:rRNA from 1 species